AAAUCCAGGCAGCGAAGGAAAAUGGCGGCGCGGGGCUGAAGGUGGUGGGGACGGCGAGAGGGAGCCGGGCUUUGGCUCCUUUCCCAGGCAUUCCUAUGGGCUUCUGUUGGAGAGAACACUGUGCUAGGAUGUGACUUAAAAUGACUUCUGAUUCUGAAGGUCCUCUGAAAAACACGCUGUGCUUGAAUGUUUGCUAAGGACAAGUAAGUGACUGAUCUCAUAGUUGAAAUAUAUAUAUAUAUACCUGAAAAGUUAUUCCCUUACUGUUUUUAAAGCUACAAUUUAGUAUAUAAGAAGCAUAUUCUUAAAAAAAAAAAAAAGGAGAGGGGGGAGGGAAAAAGGAAUAAAACCCCAAACUUAUUGCACUGCUGCCAGAAAGUGAAUUUUCUGUUUAUUUUCUUAUGGCUUCCUAUCUGUGUAAGUGAAAACAUCAUUUGUUUCUAUGAUCAGUCUUAUAACAAAGGAAUCUUUGCAUAAUAUCAAGAAUAUUUUGACUCAGAAGUUUCACUGAAAAGCUGUGAUACUUUUUACAUAUGUUUAUUUGAGGGAAAUAUAAGUUUGAAAUAAUGAAUUUCCACCUAGAAUACAGAGUUGCAGAAUGGAGUGUCCUCUAAUUUUAUUUAUAUCAAAUAAAAUUUAAAUAUUUGGGGCUUCUCUUAGCACAAAACAGUUAGUUUAUUGCAAUUUGCAUCUUAUGAAAUGUGUGACUUACAGCUUGGUUUUUAGGAGAGAGGAUUAUAUUUAAUAUUUUAACAUAUAAAAUAAAAAAAAUUCCAGGCCAUCUUCAUGAUUCAUUGAAGAGAACUUCUUUAAUUCUUUGUAAUUGGCUUAUUUUGAGUAAUGCUAAGAGCCAAUUUAUGCUUUUUUGCCAAGUGCAUUUUCCAAACAAGAAAUCAUCUCAGACAGAAGAACCUCCAAGCAUGCAAGACACCACAAGUACAUAUAUUUCAUCUAGGAAAAACUUCAUGGUUUCAUAGGGCCAGCAAAGUGUUAAAAACGCUUUCAUGCAAAAAAUAUUAUUUUAAAAAGUAUUUUUAUGUGUUUUAAAUUAGUAUUGU